CCUACGGGAGGCAGCAGUGGGGAAUAUUGCACAAUGGGGGAAACCCUGAUGCAGCAACGCCGCGUGAGUGAAGAAGUAUUUCGGUAUGUAAAGCUCUAUCAGCAGGGAAGAAGAAAGACGGUACCUGACUAAGAAGCCCAGGCUAACUACGUGCCAGCAGCCGCGGUAAUACGUAGGGGGCAAGCGUUAUCCGGAUUUACUGGGUGUAAAGGGAGCGUAGGCGGCUGUGCAAGUCUGAAGUGAAAGCCCGUGGCUCAACCGCGGAACUGCUGUGGAAACUGUAUAGCUUGAGUACUGGAGAGGCAGGCGGAAUUCCUGGUGUAGCGGUGAAAUGCGUAGAUAUUAGGAGGAACACCGGUGGCGAAGGC
rnacentral:rRNA from 1 species